rnacentral:rRNA from 1 species
GACGAACGCUGGCGGCGUGCUUAACACAUGCAAGUCGAACGGAAAGGCCCUGCUUUUGUGGGGUGCUCGAGUGGCGAACGGGUGAGUAACACGUGAGUAACCUGCCCUUGACUUUGGGAUAACUUCAGGAAGCUGGGGCUAAUACCGGAUAGGAGCUCCUGCUGCAUGGUGGGGGUUGGAAAGUUUCGGCGGUUGGGGAUGGACUCGCGGCUUAUCAGCUUGUUGGUGGGGUAGUGGAUUACCAAGGCUUUGACGGGUAGCCGGCCUGAGAGGGUGACCGGCCACAUUGGGACUGAGAUACGGCCCAGACUCCUACGGGAGGCAGCAGUGGGGAAUAUUGCACAAUGGGCGGAAGCCUGAUGCAGCAACGCCGCGUGCGGGAUGACGGCCUUCGGGUUGUAAACCGCUUUCGCCUGUGACGAAGCGUGAGUGACGGUAAUGGGUAAAGAAGCACCGGCUAACUACGUG